GACGAACGCUGGCGGCGCACCUAAGACAUGCAAGUCGAACGGUUUCUUCUUUCGGGAGAGAUAGUGGCGGACGGGUGAGUAACACGUGGAGGACCUGCCCGCCGGUGGGGAAGUAACGACCGGGAACCGGGACGCUAGAACGCCAUACGAGCGGCGGCCACUAGGGGCGGGUCGCGGAAAGUAGCGUCCCGCCGAGGGACGGCAGCCGUCGGGAGGGGCGUCCG
rnacentral:rRNA from 1 species